rnacentral:rRNA from 1 species
CCUAGGGGUGGCAGCAGUGGGGAAUAUUGCACAAUGGGGGAAACCCUGAUGCAGCGACGCCGCGUGAGUGAAGAAGUAUCUCGGUACGUAAAGCUCUAUCAGCAGGGAAGAAAAUGACGGUACCUGACUAAGAAGCCCCGGCUAACUACGUGCCAGCAGCCGCGGUAAUACGUAGGGGGCAAGCGUUAUCCGGAUUUACUGGGUGUAAAGGGAGCGUAGACGGCAGCACAAGUCUGGAGUGAAAUCCCGGGGCUUAACCCCGGAACUGCUUUGGAAACUGUGCGGCUGGAGUGCGAGAUGGGUAGGUGGAAUGCGUGGUGUAGCGGUGAAAUGCAUAGAUAUCACGCAGAACUCCGAUCGCGAAGGCAGCCUACCGGCGCGCAACUGACGCUCAUGCACGAAAGCGUGGGUAUCGAACAGGAUUAGAUACCCUAGUAGUC